AUACGAAAGGUGCAAGCGUUGUUCGGAUUUACUGGGCGUAAAGAGAUCGUCGGUGGUUUGUUAAGUUGGAUGUGAAAUCCCGGGGCUCAACCUCGGAACUGCAUCCAAAACUGGCAGACUUGAGUUCGGGAGGGGUAAGCGGAAUUCCGUGUGCAGCAGUGAAAUGUGUAGAUAUACGGAGGAACACCUGAGGCAAAGGCGGCUUACUGGACCGAUACUGACACUGAGGAUCGAAAGCGUGGGUAGCAAACAGGAUUAGAAACCCCAGUAGUCC
rnacentral:rRNA from 1 species